GAUUAUUGAACAAAUUCACUUCUACACACUUCCACACACAUUUAUACAAGAAUACAUCUAUGUAAUGUAUAUAGAUGUUCGCGAUUCAGCGUGCGGCAGACCAAUGAGCGACGUCGUUCCACGGGUGGCGCGCUUUCAGGCGCAGCCGUCGCACGAGUCUCUCGCUUGUGGGUCACCGACAAUAUAGAAGAAUAGGAAGUUUUUUAUAUGACAAGGAAAGGGUUUUGGAGUUGCUAAAUACCGUGUUAUACCGUGAAAGUUAUGAGCCACAAGAUUUUGUAAAUUCUAAAAAAAUAUUUAAAAAAUUUUUCUUUCCCGAAUUGAAAAUUGAAUGUUUUCCGAAGAUCGUACAAUAUAUACCUGACAAUCUACGGCAUUUUUACUCGGACUUACCAGAAAUAGCAUAUAAAGCAAAAUGUAAUAAAUGUGGUAGCAUUAUAUUAUCUUAUUUAACAAUAUAUUGAAAUUUAAGAAGACAUUUAAAAAUAUAUCAUGACUUGAUGAACCAAAGUCAACAUGAUUGUCCCGGAGAUUAGGACGGAGAAUAGGCGGAGGUUAUCUGCCUAUCAUCUGUUUAGCAACAACAGUGAUUGCUACAUGCAAGAUCAAUCUCCCCACUAUAGUAGCCAUUCGUCACGAAAAGAUUAAGCGGUUAAAUGCUAAUAAAAAAUUAUACACGUACGCGCGAUAAUUUUAUCUAUAAGCAUAUUGUACAUACGUGCACAUUAUGCCGUCAUUUUCUAAAUUGUAUUUUUUAAAAACCUGCGUCAAUCUUUCAAACGUGCCUUAGCCGCUCGGCGCUAUCUGUCAAUACGUACGAGAAAGAGUACAAAGGAAGGCACAGUUCAAAUGUCAUCACGCUAUGGGACCUAAAGGGACUGUAUAUAAAAGCCUCACCGUGCAUGGCUUCGUCAAAAAGAAAGUCGACGUCCAAAGCAAAUAAAGUAGCAAAUAAAGCUCGAGUCGUACGGAAAGACAAAGCUAUGGCAUCGAAAAUACUUGUGGUACUUGUAAUGGUCAGCAUCAUCGGUUUGAUCGUACCAGAAAUUUCAGCAGUGCCAGCAUAUUAUUUUUUUGGUGGUCAGCGAAAAUGUAAUCCGGGAAAAUGGUACCGUGUUGAAUGUAUCUACUGUAUCUGCACUGAAGCGGGCACAGAAGACUGCAGGGAUGAAUAUUGCGGGUAUUUCUUGCCAGGUACCAAUACGUGGGUUAAAACGCCAGUAGUUCCAGUACCUGAUGAUUACUGGCAAUGAUCCGUAUCAUUGAUGGUGAAUGUACAAGAACCGCCGCGGUUUAUGUAAUAAUCAUAAAAUAAAGACAUAAAAAAGUAAAGAAACCCGUUAAAUAUA